CCCCCCUCGGUCUCCCCCCUGGGUGCGUGUGUGCGUACCCCUCCCGGCGGCUGACCCCAACCCAGGGCUGACCCUUGGGAAGGAGGGGAUCUAGAAAGGGGACAGCCCCAUUUCGCACCCAGAGAUUGGCUAUAAGGAGAAGGCUGACGGCUGCAGCAUGAAGCGCAUUAUUACCUUGUGAUUCCAUGACCCUCCUCUAUGCAUCCCUAACUCUCGAAAGCUGAUUCAGCUUUCAGCUAGUGCUCUGGUGAGUCCUCUGCUGCAACAGAAGCUCCUAACUGCAAAGUUCCUCAUCACAGAACUCCAUGAAAAUGCCUCUCAGCCUCCAGGCAGAGCGGGUGCCUGUGUUCAGCAUGGAGGGACGCGGCUGUCACCGUGCCAGGUGUGACGCGGGGCUGCAUCAGAUCGAUGGCACGGCCGCAGGAGAGCUCACUAGUGAUGCCAGGUUUAUUUUGGAAGCUAAAACAAUGUAAAAUCAACACGGCACGCACUAAACGGAUGAAAACCCCACUGAUAUGUUUAAAUGUACGGCUGCGUGCAGACACUCAUCACAAGUGGCUGUGUUUCAGUUCAUCACUUUUAGCAAAAUGGUAGAAAAUCAAAACUAAUUACAAUCAAAGUUCGCUGAUGAGUUCGAUUUGGAUCAUGGUGGGGCUGAGGAUCAGCCUUCUCCUGAGUCAGAUUGAAGAAAAAACCACCCAGUUCAACACAUGCACAUACAAAGCCACACUUGGGAACUGGAAUUUCAUGGCAUUCAGGGGGAGGAGGGAUCCUAUAGCACAGCGCUGGAAGCUCAAACAAAUAGCAGAGUGGAAUACCUCUGGUGUAGCAUCUGCUGGGACCCUGCAGCUAUUUCUGGUGUCUGCAGCUCAAGAAGGAUGUUGAUGAAUGGGAGAGGGCUCCGAGGAGGCACACAAGAAUGACGGAAGCAUUGCAAGACAUGCCUUAUAGUGACAGAUUCAAGGACCCCAGUGCGCUUAGCUUAACAAAGAGGAGGUUAAGGGAUGGCUUAAUGACAAUCCAGAUGUGCUCAGACAGACAGAAAUGGAAAGCUCUUCAAUCGAGCAGACAGAGCAAUAAAAAGAGCCGGUAACUGCAAGCUGACACUGCAAAAUUCAUGCUGGGACAGGUGAACUUCUUAAACGGACAGAACCAACACCAGAACCACUUCCUAAGAAGCAGUUUCACCAUCUUUCACCAUUUCAAAUUCAUAUGGAUUUGUUUUUGUUUUGUUUUUAUGUAUAUCUCAGAUCCACCAAAGAUCACUCUUUAAAUGAACACUCAGAGACCCACACGGCAUGAACGGGAUUCUCCUCCCCUGAUUUCUUGAUGGCCUUAAUUAUGAGUAUUUAAGACAUCAUCCCUGAGCACUGAGUGGGACGACCCCCUCCUUUUGGAUCGUGGUCAGCCUCAGUGGUGACUCUCAUGGGCACCUCAGCUCUGCCAGAGGAAUGGCUCUGUGGUUCAGAAGCUGCUGGAAUUUCUCCUUUCAUGGAAGUUCCUCACAAAAGCCUUUGGUGCAGACGACUCUUGGGCAUCUCCAGAACUACCCUUUGGCUUCUCCUGGGGGCUGUCUUGUAAGCCCCAGUGACAUCUUUCAGUGCAGCUGGGGACAAACAGGUUUCUUUUCACUUCCCAGAACUGCAGCUAGCAGAGCGGGAAUGUGCCAGGUGAGCAGUUGAAGCACAGCUAGAAAAGGAUUGCUCCUCUGGUGCAAGCAGGGAUUUAGCUGAAAAAUACUGAGUUACUGGAAGUCUAAAAGUAGGCACUGUUCCAAGGUCAGGAGACUGAGCGUCACCUCACUCAGUGGUGCACUUUCCAUCAGAGGUAAAGCACUUCUGCUGUCCUGGAUCCAAAGUAAAGCCCAGACACUUGUAUUUAUGUUGUUCUAAGCUGUAUAACAACCCUAUUUAACAGAGAUUUUAAAUAUUCAUGGUUAAAUACUAUGAAUCAAAAAAAAAAAUCCCUUAUGCAGGCAGUUGUUGAAGGAGUUGGUGAGGGACUGUGUGCCAACAUGAGCACGCUGCUCAGAGCUCAUGGCAUCAGAGUGAACACAGAGGGAGCUUCUUUCCCCCAAAUGAUAGGCUAUGAGAAGUGCUAUGGCACUGGUAGAAGGAAGGAGAGAAAUGCCAUAGAGGAUGUGAGUGCCUUGCCCCUGCUCUAACCUGCAGCCAUGAGAUAUGGAAUAUAUCUAGGAUCACAUCUCUGGAAGGUUAAAUGCAGACAACGCAAGGGCUCCAAAAGCUGCAGGCAGCAUGGGGCAUUAGCCAAGGCACAGCUUUGCUGCAACCUCGUUUUCAUGAUUUAACAUUACUGCUGUAAAUAAUUGAUACUAAUGUAAGUGAGAUAAGAGACAGACUGUCUGUGGGCCAGGAGGAAGUGGAUCCUGGUGACAUCCACCCAAAAAUGUGCUUGCAGAUUUGGCUUGAGUGAAAGCGCUGAAAAGCCAAACACCCAAUCUGAGAGGCAGGGAAGGGAAGAGGGAUAGGAAAGGCAAGCUAGAUCAACUCAUAGGACUCCCAUUUUUCAAAAGAAAACUCCCUGUAUUAGUUCCUUCAACAAGAGAACAUCAGCAUCACCUAUCAUUGGUUAGCUUGCCAAGGUUUGCUCUUGCACUAGUCCUUAGGACAUGCUCAUGCACUGUCAGAGGGUGGGAACCUGGGCGGGUAUGGACAUGGUUUAAGGAACCAGUUUUGUAAGAAGGUACAAGAGCAUCCCUCCUCAUCAAGGACAUGAGAACCCCAGAGUGCUCAAUAUACUUUAUGCCUUUGGCUGUGGUUAUCUACAAAUCAGCUGAGCACCAGGAAGGAGCUAUCCAGAAUCUCAGUCUUUGGAACCAGAGAUGGAGAACUACCCAUUUGGUCCAGUGAGGACAGACAUGAGCCAGGUGAUGGAUUCAGUGCUCUGGAAACCCACCUGAGCUUGAGAUGAAUGGGCCACAACGAGGCUGGAGAUGGGGAUAUCCCUGCUGGGAACCUCCCAGGGCCAUUGGACUGCAUAAAGCUCUAAAUCCCAGAGUUGAUGCUGCCUUCGGCAUUUCCCAUCCCCUGAGCAGCCAGCAUGAUGUCAAGCCGGCUUUGAUCCUGCCUAGGACAUAGAAAAAGAGAUAACGCCAGCUGAAAAAAAAAUGAUGGAAAAUGGUGUUGAGCCACCCUUAAAGCUCUCUGCUAAACUUUCUGCUGCAUCACCACCUUCACGCAACCCCUGUGUUGCUCCCCAGCCCAAGGACCUUCUCUUACCCUCACUGUAAGGUAAGCGUGCCUAAUGGCUUUAAAUUGCAGGAGGAUGCCACAUAGGAUUGAAAGAAAUCUGCAGAGCUGAUUCCUUCAUUGUGAAUGAUUUCCUUGUAGAGGCAGCGGGUCACUCUUAGGGCAGGUAGGUUUGUCCUACGCACAUCCCAAAGGCCGUGGCUACACAUUACUCUGGUGCACAGUUAUGCAGAGCUCUGACGUUGUGUUUCUUUUUCUAAAUGCUUCUUAGCCAAGUGAUUUGAGCCAGAAAGCUGGAGGAAAAUUGCCAUUUGGAAAAUGCUUUGAAAGAGCAGCAUUCACUCAUGAGUGACAGAGCUGGAGACAGCCAGCGAGACUUUCUCAUCUCUAACAUGAUUUUAUGAUUCAGUGAAUAAUGCAUAUUAGCAUAAUGCUAACUAAAAAAAUCCAUACUCAUCAUUUACUAUUAAUUAGUUAUCAACAUUAUCCUAUUAUUAAUUAUUAACAUUUACACUAUCCAUCAGCCCCCAGCUGACUGAUAGCUUAAAAUCUAGCAUAGAGAUUGUUACAACAAUGCUACACCGCAUCCCAUAACAUACUGUGCAGUCAGCUUGUCAUAUCCCCAUCUAUAAAGCUUUUUACUAAUGCACUUUACAACAGAUCUUAUAGUACAUGGAUGAGGAAUGUGGCUGCACCCAGCAAUAAUUCCAUUAAUUAUGAAUAAAGCAUUUACAAAUGACAUCCUUAUUUAAAAACAGUGAUGAACUCAUUUUGUUUUAAUGUGGAAGUGCUGCGUAAUUUGUAAUUCUGUAAAAAGCAGUGCUGGCAGCAUGGGACAGGGAGAGGGGCCCAGAGCUCAUCUUUACAUCAUAAAGGGAAAAAAAAAAAAACCAUAAAAAGAACAGAAGGAAAUUAUUGACCAACAACAAAACGCUGGGAUAAAGCUGACCAAACCCCAACCUGAUGGUUGGAAGGGAUUUGUUAAGGUGCCACGAAGAGCUGGAAGGCAUUAUGCAGUGACCUUGCAUUGUGACUGUGUCAAUAAAACUCUCCCCGCGUUACCAGCAAGGCUGUUUCCAUGCUUUCACUUGCGAUGUUUUCAGCUGGCUGGCAGCUCCCCAACACUCGUUAGCUGCAUAGGGUUUGUCUUUGCAGCAUCUCGGUACUGUUUGGUCCUAAAGGCUUCCUGAGAUGGCAGAAUAUUUAUUGCAUCCCAUAUUUCACAGGGGAUACUUACGUCAAGAGGCUAUAAAUACGUUACUCUUCCGAGUUUACAUAAGGGAUACAAAGUCAGUAGCCAAGUUUACAGAUCAGGCUCUGUUAGCAUGGGGUCUGUUCUUCCUCAUAUCCAUCUCCAUUGUUUGAAAUCAUUUGCCAGAUUAAUGCUGGGAGAGAUUUUUGACUCACUGGUCGCUCCUGAACGCAGCAGUCGUGUUCAGGUUACUCCGUGUACUACACAAGCCUGCUUCAUUUAGCCUUGCAUCCUUUUUGGUAUUAAAGCCAUGAAUAUUGAUGCUGGCUGUAGUUUUAAAGUGAGAGCCGUGAUCCAAGAGCUCCUUAUCCCAAGGUUCACACAUCUAAAUGCGUGCCCACUGGGGAUGCCAAAACCCUGCAAACCCCUUCCAUGCUCUCUUUCAGCGCCUCAUUCUGAUGCUCACGAGUGACCCUCACACAGUACAACAUACCACACCUGCAGAGACCUUUCCCCAGAUUCCCAAGCCAAUAAAUGGUAAAAACUGAAUAUACGGUGGUUAUAGUCAGCACUGCUAAGGGGCCCUUCUGCAGCACCCCUCCCAGCCCAAGGAAGGGCAGGAAACCUCAAUCACAGCUCCCCUAAUAACACAUCUGGAUGUUGGUGGCCCUGCCUGUGGCAGGGGGUUGGAACUUGAUGAUCCUUGGGGUCCCUUCCAACCCAAGCCGUUCUAUGAUUCUAUGAUUCCCAGCACUUCUCCAGACCAUGAGCACGUUGGUGUUCAACGGUAGGAGUUAUUUAUUGAGGCUUUGGCUGUUUGCAGCAGCGGCUGGGGAGAAGUUCUGCAGUUAUCAAAAACCUAUUUCCUGCAGCGUCACAAAUAAACCAGCAGCCCCCCUCCGAAAAGCCGAGCGCAACAUUUACAUUUUAAUCUCCCGACACACUUUGCUUUCUGACAAACAGGGUUUUUCAGUGCAUGUGUUACAGUGGAGAUGCAGGAGAAAGCCUCACAGCCUGGGAGGGAUCGUGGGUGGCUUUGUGAGCAAAGGCUGUGACCUUCCAGGCCAGAAAGCAUUUUUACCACAAAAACCAGUGGUGCACCGGCAUCUGGCACUGCAUGAUGCCAUGCAUGUGUAAAACAGGGCUGGGCAGGACAAGCAGGCAGCCCUGUGCUGCUACCCAUCCUGCAGUCACCCCUGGCACUCUCAUCUCACUGUCUGCUUGCAUCCCUGCCUGCAGGACAAUUGGUGCAGAGCAGAGAUGCUCUUUGCACCCCAGCUGCCCGGUUUGCUGUCUGGUGAUGAGAGCAUCUCCUUCCCUGCUUAAUGCUGGAGCUGAGAUCCUGUGCUGCCUCCAUAGAACUGCUGCAGCAGGAUAUGAAUUAUGGAUGCAAUGAAAAAUCCCAGCGCAUUGCACAGAGGGAAUAUGCAAAGUGCAAAGCAAUCACCUCUGCACGAUGCACGAGCAUUGCCACACACUGCCAUUGGAUGCCCAAAAACUGUACCCCACCAUGACCUGCACCUCCCUCAUCCCGGAAAGGCACCGGGAUCCCCUCCUCCUGAGCACUCCAGGGCUGGAAAUGAGGACACCCAUCAUGUGAAAAACACCUCUUUACAUACUGUGGAGGCACUCAGGGCACAGGAGGGGGCCUCACUGCAUUCACAGGCAUCCAGGGGAUGGGUGUCUGCUCUCUAUGGGUAAGGGCUUACCCUCGGGAGCUCUGGCAGAGCUUUGCCUGGAGCCAAAGAGCCCGCAUAUGUUGUUUGCAUCCUCCUCCUGUCAGAGCCCACUGCCGCUGGAGCAGAGAAGUGUAGGACAGUUCUCCACAGACUAAUUUGGGGGGGCUGUAGUGUGCGGAAGCUCUCCUCACAACUUCUCUUUCAGAAGGCUUUUCCUUUUUAUUUCUUUUAAUUUUCAAAUGCUCCGAUUCCUCCCCUUGAAGCACAGCUCGUUGCCUCCGUGCACCAUCUCAUAGCACACUGCAAAAGCGUUGCCACUUUCCAGAGCCAUUUCUGAGCAUGCAAUAUCAACAUCUGUGCUAAAAGCAAGCCAAAAUUUUUCCCCGAAGCGAUAUUUUGCUUGGCAUUAUUGUUCCUUUUUCUUUUUAAUGGUUUGCUUGUCACGGGGACUCCUCAGCCUUUUAUACUCAGGAAAUGCAGAAUGCUGCUCCCCUCCCUGCUGCAAGCAGGAGCCAGCGGUGAGCACAGCAUGCAGCUCCCAUCCAUCCCACGGUGCCAGAAGGUUGGGGAAAUGCCUUGGGUCACUUAGGGCCCCAAUUAAUUACAACAGCCCCCCCAUGAAUGGCACUGUAAAUUCUUGCUCCUUGUGUUAAAAAAGUUACGAGUGUUACUUAGCGGCCACUAAAAUUAUACAGCACUGCAGCACUGUGUUUGCUGCUGUGUGCUCACUGCCUUUAAAUGCCACAGCCAGGCAUGGGAUAGAUGGGAGGCACAUGGGCAUCCCUGGAACCUGGCUGCUGGCUCUGCCCAGGCUGCAGCUGACAGUCACAGAGAAGCAAGUGCAGUGCAGAGUUCUUUCUGCCUGGGGGUAAGCACUGAGAUGCUGCUAUCUCUGGCUCAGUGUCAGCUGCAGGUAUCACUGUUCCCAGGGCAGGCUGCAGGAUGCUAUGGAGCUGGAGACUGUUUUCACUGAAUCAUUAAGGUUGGAAAAGACCUCUAAUGCCAUCACGUCCAACCCCAAUCCAUCCCACCAUGCCCACUAAUGUCCCUCUGGGUCACAUCUACCCUUUUCUUGAACACCUCCAGGGAUGGUGACCCCACCACCUCCCUGGGCAGCUCUACCAAUGCAUGACUGCUCCUUCUGAGUAGGAAUUUCUCCUGAUAUCCAGCCUGACCAGGAUCAGGUGGAGGAUGGUUGAAAAGGAAGAAGAACGACCAGUAAUAGGGCUCUAUAGCACCUCCGUCCGUAAAGAGUAUGACCAAUUUUCAGCUCUCAGAAGCUAAAGCAGGACUGAUGUAUAAAGUCUACUUUGGUUUCUCCCUGGUUUAUGUCUCUGACACCUUGCAAAGUCUUCGGGAUGUCAGGACAUAGCUCUGCCCUUCUGUACAGGUUUCCUUGGAGGAUUUCACACGGUGUUGGUGCAGGCAGCAGUAGCAAUGUCUGACAGCACUCCCACGGCAGCUGCAGGGCAGUGAGCAGCAGUACAGUUCUGCCUUCUCUGCUGGCAAUCUUCAGCUUUCUGGGCAAUUAUCUUCUCCCCCAUCAUCCUGCCCAGCACACAGCUGGUUGGCAGAGCUAAUUGAUUGGUGUUUGUACAGGCUUUUGGGUUUCUCCUGUUAAGUAGGUGUUAAAUCUCAUUAUUAUUAUUAUUAUCUUCUGUCAUAACCACAGUGAUGAACGUCCCCCUGUGCACGUACUUAAACUACCCAAUGUGGGCUGCCUUGUUCUUAAUUUUGAUUAUUUUAAGAAGUCUUUUAGCACAUCAAAUUGCCUUGGUGGAUAAAGAUUUAUAGCAAAGCCUUGGGAGCUGUCAGAGUAAUGUUUUUCCAGCAGCAAAAACUUAACCUCCUCUUAGAUCUCUUUCCUGCUUUGUCCCACACUUCUCCAUGUGAUGAAGGGAUGCUGAGGCGUUGCUGGGUGCAGCUCUUGGGAUGAAGGAAAUGUGCUGUCAGUCCUUUUAUUUCUGAUCCCAUUUGAGUGUGUCACUCAGCUGUCUCAAAUCAAAGAGGGUGAGAAGGUGCCUUAAACUGCUGUGAUUGGAAACUUCAAACUCACCGUGUCUUCUAGACGCUAAGUAAAUGGCUGGUGGGCUCUUGUAAAUCACAGCAUUUCUAAAUAUACCAGAGAGUCUCUCUGCCAAGAUGCUGAUGAACACUGCGUCUGUUCCUAUUGACUUCUUUUCCCCCUUCAGAUUCCUUUUGCUUUGAAUAAUUUCAAAUCAUAACGCAAAAAAAAAAUCCUGGACUCUUAGCGAGACUCAGUGAUGCUGUGAUUAAUGAAAACGUAAUGAGAGCUACCAUGCAGCCAUUACAAACCAGUUAGCUAAUUAGUCUAAUCACAGAGGUGGAAAUAAUUAAAAGACCAUAAAGUAGAGGUAGCCUAAUAACAGCGUUUUCCUCUGACCCAGAAGUGAAGAGAGAAGGAUGCUCUGUUCUAUCUGGUUUACUGGGUCAGCGCCAGGAGGAGUGGGGAGUGAAGGGCCCAGAAGAACUGCAGUGCCUGGGCUGGAUCAGACAGGGACAACAGAGCAGCCUUACACCAUUCUGCCCUUACACCACUCUGCCCUUACACCAGACUGCAGCUGAGUCCUCAACUGCUUCAGAUGGGUACUUGUAAGGUAGGACCGGUCUGCACUGGAGAAGCACACCCUGAAACCCUGCCCUACUUCUGCAAGGGUCUUCCAGCCCGGGCUGCUAAUGAGAGGCACAGGGCAAUGUGCAGAGCUGGAUUUCACCCCGUAAUUAGCAGUGACCUACCUCUCACUGCUGGAUGGAAUGGCUCCGUUUGAUGGGCUGUAAAAAAUCCUAACUGGUAAUUUUCCAGUUGGGAUGGGUCAUGGUUAUGGCCAUCUCCAUUGGCUCUUAUCAUUUCCGCCAGGGGUUUGUGUGCAUCCCAUUUGACCCGAUUAUAAUGAGCAAAGAAGAACAAAGGAGCUGCAGACACACAAUCAACGAUCAUGUGCUGAAGCUGAUGAAUACGCCAAGUCUGCUAAGUGGCUCCUCAUCAGCUAUUCACGUGCUGGGAGCCAUCUUUAUUUGCUCUUCGUCUGUAGGUGAAUCUAUUUUUGUAGCUCUGUUUUGGGGGUGGGAGGGUGGAUGGAGGCAACCACCGCUGUCAGGUAAAGACUACGCUUUCCUGAAAAAUCAAACGGUGACACCAAGUUGGCAGUGACCUGAAAAGAAGAAACGAUGCCAUGUCAUUUAGAGAAGGAAGAAAUAAUAUUCCCCAGUGACACCCCUGGUGGGAGGCAGAACUUUACCUCCCUGCAUCUCAAAUGAAGCAUCACAGCAGCAGCACUAACUGUGCUUCCGUGUUUCCAGAGUGACUUUUCAUUAACCUUAUUUUAUUUGCUGUAGCUGCAAACAUGCUUUCAAGGGUAGGAGCAGGGGCUGUCCUGCUGGGAGGAUUUGCAGGAUGAAAUGCAAGCCCAGGACAUCCCACCUGGAUCCUCUAGCUGUGACAUUGCUGCAGAAGGAGGGAUGUGUCUGGGGGUCUGUGCUGCUGCAUGCCAAUGACUGCCCAAUUUCUGCCCUUCCAGCACCUCUUCUUAUUCAAUCUGAACGUGUGGGUGAGCAGCACACCCAUCCCAGGGCUCUGUUCCAGCUGAAGCUGUUUCCUGCUGCAGGCUGUGUGGGUUCAGCAGCACGCUGCUCCAGGAAAGCAGUUCUGUACAAGCAGCAACACACAGGCUUGCACCGCCGGCGUUUGCAAACAGCUGAUCUAGAGAGAUUGCUUUUUUUUUAUUUAUUUCUUUGUGCUUUUGACCUUAUUUGUUGAAAAUGAAACAUCAUGUAACCUUCCAGGAAAUGCCACGAAUCUUCGAUCUGACAUGAGAACAUAAAUCUCCAGUGCGUGUGCAUCAGUUCCGGUCAGGUUUUCAGGUCUUAGCUAGAUCAGAGUGCAGUGGGAGCAUCCCAUAUUGGGGCCAGCAGGACCCAAGUUCCUCACCUGUCCUGUCCUUGUAACAGCAGUCCCAUGGCAUUGGUUGUUGCCUGUGGACCAGGCUGGUUUUCCACCUGUUCUUUGUAGAAAGAAUGGGAUUUCUUGCACCUGAAUUGAAGUGUGAAAUUUUAAGGGGACGGGUGCAGCUCCUCCCUCCCAGCUCCGGCUGAAAGCAAGCACUGCCUCACAGCUCUGAGCAGCCCCCACUCCAACAGCCAUCUCGGGGAGCAGAAGGUUCUCGUGCUGUUGGGAACUGAGGCUCUGCAGCCCCGACCACACAGAGAGGACGGGAAACCGCAAUGCCUGCGGUUUCCCGUCCGGUCCAUGCAAGCUGUUCAGUGCACGGGGCCUGAAUGGCAGUGAGGGUUAUUUGAAGGUCAGAAGUUGUUUGUGUGAAGAUGCAGCCCCGCUGCACGGCUUUUUGGCACCUGCUCAGUGACAGUACUGUUUUGCUGGAGCCGUGCAUGCCUCCAUCCCAAGCUGCCAGUGUUCUGUGGGGACACAUCCAGAGGUGUGCAGGGCUUUCCUUUGUGCCUUAUACCCAGAGCAGGGAAGCCCUACACCCCACCAGGCCCAGGGAACAACUCAGAGGUCUCUUUGCAUUUUAAUGCCUUUUCCUCUCUAUUGAGGUCUGUGACAUUCCUACAGGUUAACAGAACCCACAGUGAGAACAGUACCAUGCGCCCACCCCCCACAUACCUCUCCCUGCUAAAAGCAACAGAAACCUGCAUUUUUAUUCGCUUAUUUUAAUAGGACGACCUUUCCUUGUUUCUCCACUAGAUGGGAGAGUGAGACUGGUCUAACAAUGUGCCCGUCUUUAUCCUGACAGGAAUACAGGGGGGAGACGAGGAAUGGGGAAUGCACUCAAGUCAGUUCUCGGGUGUGAGGACACCUCCUGCACUUUCUCUGCCCUUGGAAAUGGUGUGGAUAACCCCAAAAAUGCAUGCUGAGCCGUGUUAUGAGCUAACCCCAAAAGUGCACGGCUGUGGAGACCGGUGCUUGCUGGGGGAUUCCCUCACUGCCAACUCCUCUGCCCUCAUGCGAGGAGGAAUCAGGUACACAAAGAUUAGAUCACAGAAUGACAGGGUCAUUUUGGUUGGAAAAGAGCUCCAAGAUCCCCGAAUCCAACCUCAGCCCACCCCACUGUGCCCACUGCUCACAUCCCUCAGUGCCACAUCUCCACAGCUCUGGGACACCUGCAGGGACGGUGACCCCACUUCCCCCUGUGCAGCUGUGCCACUGCAUCUUUCAGAGAACGUAUUUUUCCUAAUAUCCAACCUGAAUCUCCCCGGUGCAACUGAAGAUGUAUUCUUGGGGUGAGACACUUCGUGGCCAUCCACAUCCUGGAGAAUCAGUUGACUCCCCCGUCCCCAGCAUUGCUUUGGGAGAAAAAGAAUCACACCCCAUUUUCACCUCCUUCUCUCCAAUGCCUUUCUCGUGCAGGAUCAUUGCAUCAUAAUGCUCACGGCUGUAACGCUUCUUUCCGCAAAGAUUAAAAAUGUGCUGAUGCAACAGCUGCACUUGCAGGAGGGGAAUUUGUGGCCCCGUCUGACACCGGCAGCUGCACACAGAGGAUGCCCCGUGGCACUCAUGCUUUGCUGAAUUUACUUUCACUGCAGCGCUUCCCAUCCCCUGAGGCAUUGCCUGAGCUUUCACUGGAACUGAGUGCGUUGGGGAAUUAAACAGCAGCAGAAACACUGUCUCAACCAAACCAAAAAACUGCCCCAUUUGCCUAUAUUUUGUUAUUGAGAGGUUUGGGGUUUUUAAGACUAAGCAUGACUUCUUCCUUUUGGGAUGUCACGGGUCCUGGAAGAAAACUUCUCACAGCCAAUUUUUCUGACUGCGACAGAAUAGGCAAAUACUGCAGCUCUGGGGGGUUUUGCUGUCUGCCCAACCUCCUUAAUUUGCAAUCUUUGUAAAGAAGUGACUCAACUGAUUUGUUUGACGCUGGGUACACUUGUGCCCUUCAAUGAAGUAAUCCUGACAUCCCUUUGUAACUGUGCCCUCGUUGUCUUCUUUGGGGUUUCCCAACUGCCAUUACUCAGCCAGAGAGAGGUAACAGCCUCUUUGGAAGAGGAAGUUGGGUUUCACUAGAUGUAAUUCUUCUGUUUUCCAUAAGCAAGUCACCCCACCCUAUGUGGGCAACAACACUGUAUCACUCAGCACAGAGCCGUGUCCCACCCAGGCACCGCCAUGAGAGCGAUCGGUUUUCCCAAGAAGGGAGGAGACUUCUUUCAUUGGCUGUAAUUACAGAUGGAAAAAUGCUGCGUAGAAGCAACACAGUGGUAGAAAAUGCAGCUCUGGCAGAGGCAGGGCAUGCUCAGUGGGGCAGCAUCUGGCUGCCAGGUAGGGGCAGUGCAGGGACACAGGGAUGGGGAUGGAUGUACCGUGGGAUGUCUCAAAGGGAUGGGGAUUUGUAUGUUUGCUUCUGCCCUUGGGCAGCAGUCUGCUUCUUCCCGUGCCCCUCAUUCACAAAGUUUUGGGUGAGAAAAUGGGAAAAUGAAAGCCCAAGUGCACAGAGCCACUGCCGUGACUCUGUUCUGCUUUUCUGUGCUCCAGCACUGCCAUCCCCUUCCUAUCAUCUCCCUUUACCACCCUGGAAGGGAAUUAAAACCAGAAAAGGCACUAACUGGGGAGAUGAGCUGUGAAGAGCCUGGUGGAGUGGUGCAGCCUUGUGAUGGGCACAUGGGACCUGCAGGACAAGGACACUGCUGGGACCCACAUCUUCCUCUGCUGACUGCAGGAGGUGCUGCAGCUUGCUGCCUUCUGACAGCACGCCAAGUGCAAAUGAGCAUCUCGUUCUUCAGGGAUGAGAUGUUGAGCUGAUUAAGUUUCUCUUUAAUUAUAAGGAGGAAAUGGCACGUGCAAGGACGGCUUCUGCUGCCAAGUUAGAGAUGCUCCUGGGUGUAUCGUGCUUUCCUUCCUGGUGCAUGGGGCUCAGCUGUAGGGUUGGGAAGGGAGAGAAAACGGCUUGGGACAUAUUCAGAGCUAUGGCUGAUGGGGCAUUCUAUGGAAUGCUCAGCAACCUGUGAUAAGUAGGGUAUAGUCCAGGGCAGGGAACUGGCAUGCUUGGCAUUUACUACACUCAUAAAUGACUCCAGCAGCAGCAGAAAGGGUACAAACUUCACCCUUGCAAAGCAUCAGCACUGAGGCCAUGGUGGGGAGCAGACGAGCAAAGUGCCAGGAAACGUGUUGCUGCAGGUUGCACCCUGAGAGUUUUGGUAGCUGGCUGUUAGCACUGCAGCAUCUGCAUCGUGAUGGUGACUAAGGGUAGUUCUGUGGACUGGAAAAAGGGGCGGAGGGGUUUCCAUUCCCCAGCGGUGCACAGAGCUCCCAGCCAAGUGCUGCCUAUGUUGGGAUGCAUGUAGGAUGUAGGAUGCUUCGUGGAUCUGGGACCUCUCCACAGGGGCACUGGGCAAAGGGUGACAGGGAGCACAGGGCACAGAUUAAUGACAAAUAGUCAAA
ensembl:lncRNA